rnacentral:misc_RNA from 1 species
GAUGAAGAACGCAGCGAAAUGCGAUAAGUAAUGUGAAUUGCAGAAUUCAGUGAAUCAUCGAAUCUUUGAACGCACAUUGCGCCCCCUGGUAUUCCGGGGGGCAUGCCUGUCCGAGCGUCAUUACAAACCUCAAGCUCAGCUUGGUGUUGGGCCCCGCCGCCCCGGCGGGCCCUAAAGUCAGUGGCGGUGCCGUCCGGCUCCGAGCGUAGUAAUUCUUCUCGCUCUGGAGGUCCGGUCGUGUGCUCGCCAGCAACCCCCAAUUUUUUUCAGGUUGACCUCGGAUCAGGUAGGGAUACCCGCUGAACUUAAGCAUAUCAAUAAGCGGAGGA